UAAUACGAGUUAUAAAUAGACAAUUUUUCCCUUAAUUUUUUUUCUCCCCUCUUCCUGCAUUUUUGGAGAAAAGGGAUCAAAUUUGCAAUAUCAUAACAGUUUUGGGUAAUACUGAUGAUAUUACAGCGAAGGGAUAGGGGGGUGUAAAGUGUCUUUCUGCAGUGCCGAGCAAUCAUUGUGUCGGAAGCAAUGAUAGACGUCAUUCGACUCAUUGGUCGGAAGUGAGAUUUUCACCCCAGUCAACUUUAAAUCCGCGUAGCAAAAAAUCUAAAUGGUCAACCCACUACAAAAUUAUGAUGAGGAGAUUGCCAAAUGUGGUCCCCAUCGUGCCUAUAAAGAUUGGAAGCAACGGAAUGUUGAGCAAAAUGCUACAACCUGUGAUGUUACACAGCCAUUUAACAUUGAAGUCAAUGGGCAAAUAAUUGCUAGUUUGAGGCCUGAUAUUAUUUUGGGAUGUUGUUAUUUUCUGAGCGGCUUAUUUGAAUGGAAAGUGUCAGAAAUGGUGUCACUGUGCAAGAGUGGAAUGAUUGACCUCAACACAAGUAUUAAAGGCAAAAGGGAAUCAACUUUAUUUGAGGCCAGAUACAUGGAACGGUUCCACCAGUUAUUUGUUAUCCCACCCCGGCACACAACAGAAUGAGGGCGGCACUUUGAGCAGUCGCCAUCGUAACACAUGAUAGUGGACUCUAGGACUUUUGCACUAACUUGGUUAGAAAGAGUCUGCAUGCCACUCCGAGAGGGCGGUGGAAUAUCCAAAUCUGUAAACAGCAGCCAAGCUCUGGUGUUUCCAACCGGCAUGUCUAACAGUCCAGAUUGUAGGGUCAGAUUAAUAUCGGCUGCCUUUCUUCCUGGUUUCCCAGUUGGAAUCUCUUUAUACAACUUGUAGACAGAUGGAGGACCCGAAGAAAACCCACGAGAUUGGACGGCGAUCCUACUCCUUGUCACGUACAACCGGGGAUUCGAAACCACGCCAGUUGACUCAAUGAAAGGCCGUAUGAUACAGCACGCACAUUCUAACCAUUCGGCCAUCCAACCCCCCACACCAACAUAGAAAGUUAAUGAAAUUCGGCAUGUUCAUACCUUGUGCAUCUUUCUAAUUGGUGAAAUAAAGAUUUUGGAUCCACCAAAGCCAGUUUAGAAGUUAUUGUGUGCGCGAUGAGCCUACCCAUACCCGAUUCCCCCAUAGUUUUAGUAUGUUUACGGUAAUAUAUCUCGAAACGCCAGCAUAAGAGCCUUUUGAAAUUUUGUAUUCUAGUAGUUUAUUCAUCUCUUGAAUCCGUGAAACAAAAAACAUUUUCCCACCAAAGCUGGUUUGGGUCGUUUUUUGAUGCAGCGUGGGCGUACCCGUUGUUUAUUGAACCCACAAACUCCACCUCGAAUCCGGGUGCUAGGAACUUUGCAGUGGUAUAACUCGAUACACCAACAUAGAAAGUUUUAAUGAAAUUCGGCAUGUGCAUACCUUAUGCAUCUGUCGAUUUAGUGAAGCCACCAAAGCUAGUUUAGAAGUUAUUGCGUGCACAGUGAGAUUACCCCAACCUGGUUCCCCCAUAUGUUUAGUAUGUUUACGGUAAUAUAUCUCGAAACGCCAACAUAGGAGCCUUCUGGAAGUUUGUAUUCUAGUAGUUUAUUCAUCUCUUGGUUCCGUGAAACAAAAAACAUUUUCCCACAAAAUCUGGUUUGGGUGCUUUUUGAUGCAAAAUGGACGUACCCCUUUUUUGCAUGAUCAGUUAGCCUAGAAUGCGAUAUUUUAGU